rnacentral:rRNA from 1 species
AUUGAACGCUGGCGGCAGGCCUAACACAUGCAAGUCGAACGGUAACAGGAAGCUGCUUGCUGCUUCGCUGACGAGUGGCGGACGGGUGAGUAAUGUCUGGGAAACUGCCUGAUGGAGGGGGAUAACUACUGGAAACGGUAGCUAAUACCGCAUAACGUCGCAAGACCAAAGAGGGGGACCUUAGGGCCUCUUGCCAUCGGCUGUGCCCAGAUGGGAUUAGCUAGUAGGUGGGGUAACGGCUCACCUAGGCGACGAUCCCUAGCUGGUCUGAGAGGAUGACCAGCCACACUGGAACUGAGACACGGUCCAGACUCCUACGGGAGGCAGCAGUGGGGAAUAUUGCACAAUGGGCGCAAGCCUGAUGCAGCCAUGCCGCGUGUAUGAAGAAGGCCUUCGGGUUGUAAAGUACUUUCAGCGGGGAGGAAGGGAGUAAAGUUAAUACCUUGGCUCAUUGACGUUACCCGCAGAAGAAGCACCGGCUAACUCCGUG